CCUACGGGUGGCAGCAGUGAGGAAUAUUGGUCCAUGGACGAGAGUCUGAACCAGCCAAGUAGCGUGAAGGAUGACUGCCCUAUGGGUUGUAAACUUCUUUUAUAUGGGAAUAAAAUGUUCCACGUGUGGGCUUUUGUAUGUACCCUAUGAAUAAGGAUCGGCUAACUCAGUGCCAGCAGCCGCGGUAAUACGGAGGAUCCGAGCGUUAUCCGGAUUUAUUGGGUUUAAAGGGAGCGUAGGUGGAUUGUUAAGUCAGUUGUGAAAGUUUGCGGCUCAACCGUAAAAUUGCAGUUGAAACUGGCAGUCUUGAGUACAGUAGAGGUGGGCGGAAUUCGUGGUGUAGCGGUGAAAUGCUUAGAUAUCACGAAGAACUCCGAUUGCGAAGGCAGCUCACUGGACUGCAACUGACACUGAGGCUCGAAAGUGUGGGUAUCAAACAGGAGUAGAUACCCGGGUAGUC
rnacentral:rRNA from 1 species